rnacentral:rRNA from 1 species
CAGCCGCCACGGUAAUACGUAGGGUGCGAGCGUUAAUCGGAAUUACUGGGCGUAAAGCGUGCGCAGGCGGUUUUGUAAGACAGGCGUGAAAUCCCCGGGCUCAACCUGGGAAUGGCGCUUGUGACUGCAAAGCUAGAGUGCGGCAGAGGGGGAUGGAAUUCCGCGUGUAGCAGUGAAAUGCGUAGAUAUGCGGAGGAACACCGAUGGCGGAGGCAAUCCCCUGGGCCUGCACUGACGCACAUGCACGAAAGCGUGGGGAGCAAACAGGAUUAGAUACCCGAGUAGUCCCUGUCUCUUAUAC